rnacentral:rRNA from 1 species
CCUACGGUGGCAGCAGUGGGGAAUAUUGCACAAUGGGCGCAAGCCUGAUGCAGCCAUGCCGCGUGUGUGAAGAAGGCCUUCGGGUUGUAAAGCACUUUCAGCGGGGAGGAAGGCGGUGAGGUUAAUAACCUCAUCGAUUGACGUUACCCGCAGAAGAAGCACCGGCUAACUCCGUGCCAGCAGCCGCGGUAAUACGGAGGGUGCAAGCGUUAAUCGGAAUUACUGGGCGUAAAGCGCACGCAGGCGGUCUGUCAAGUCGGAUGUGAAAUCCCCGGGCUUAACCUGGGAACUGCAUUCGAAACUGGCAGGCUAGAGUCUUGUAGAGGGGGGUAGAAUUCCAGGUGUAGCGGUGAAAUGCGUAGAGAUCUGGAGGAAUACCGGUGGCGAAGGCGGCCCCCUGGACAAAGACUGACGCUCAGGUGCGAAAGCGUGGGGAGCAAACAGGAUUAGAUACCCUUGUAGUC